AUUGAACGCUGGCGGCAGGCCUAACACAUGCAAGUCGAACGAGUGGCGGACGGGUGAGUAAUGUCUGGGAAACUGCCUGAUGGAGGGGGAUAACUACUGGAAACGGUAGCUAAUACCGCAUACCAUCAGAUGUGCCCAGAUGGGCUUAGCUUGUUGGUGGGGUAACGGCUCACCAAGGCGACGAUCCCUAGAUGGACUGAGAGGAUGACCAGCCACACUGGAAAUUAGACACGGUCCAUACUGCUACGGGAGGCAGCAGUGGGGAAUAUUGCACAGUGGGCGGAAGACUGACGCAGCCAUGCAGCGCGUAUGAAGGAGGCCUUCGGGUUGGAAAGUACUUUCAGCGGGGAGGCGUUACCCGCAGAAGAAGCACCGGCUAACUCCGUGCCAGCAGCCGCGGUAAUUC
rnacentral:rRNA from 1 species